rnacentral:tRNA from 1 species
AAGAAAUUAGUUAAAUAUAUAACAUAUGUUUGUCAUGCAUAAAUUAUCUUAUAGAUAUUUCUUA